CAGCAGCCGCGGGAAUACGUAGGGUGCGAGCGUUAAUCGGAAUUACUGGGCGUAAAGCGUGCGCAGGCGGUUGUGUAAGACAGGUGUGAAAUCCCCGGGCUCAACCUGGGAAUGGCAAUGGAUACUGGCAAGCUAGGGUGUGUCAGAGGAUGGUGGAAUUCCCGGUGUAGCGGUGAAAUGCGUAGAGAUCGGGAGGAACAUCAGUGGCGAAGGCGGCCAUCUGGGACAACACUGACGCUGAGGCACGAAAGCGUGGGGAGCAAACAGGAUUAGAUACCCGCGUAGUCCCUGUCUCUUAUAA
rnacentral:rRNA from 1 species